AACGAACGCUGGCGGCAUGCCUAACACAUGCAAGUCGAACGAGACCUUCGGGUCUAGUGGCGCACGGGUGCGUAACGCGUGGGAACCUGCCUUUAGGUUCGGAAUACCUCAGAGAAAUUUGAGCUAAUACCGGAUGAUGUCUUCGGACCAAAGAUUUAUCGCCUUUAGAUGGGCCCGCGUUGGAUUAGCUGGUUGGUGUGGUAAAGGCCUACCAAGGCGACGAUCCAUAGCUGGUCUGAGAGGAUGAUCAGCCACACUGGGACUGAGACACGGCCCAGACUACUACGGGAGGCAGCAGUGGGGAAUAUUGGAAAAUGGGCGAAGGCCUGAUCCAGCAAUGCCGCGUGAGUGAUGAAGGCCGGAGGGUUGUAAAGCUCUUUUACCCGAGAUGAUAAUGACAGUAUCGGGAGAAUAAGCACCGGCUAACUCCGUG
rnacentral:rRNA from 1 species